rnacentral:rRNA from 1 species
AGAGUUUGAUCAUGGCUCAGAUUGAACGCUGGCGGCAGGCCUAACACAUGCAAGUCGAGCGCGAAAGGCCUUCGGGCUGAGUAGAGCGGCGGACGGGUGAGUAACGCGUAGGAAUCUACCUGGUAGUGGGGGACAACUUGGGGAAACUCAAGCUAAUACCGCAUACGCCCUAGGGGGAAAGCGGGGGACCUUCGGGCCUCGCGCUAUCAGAUGAGCCUGCGUAGGAUUAGCUAGUUGGUGAGGUAAAGGCUCACCAAGGCGACGAUCCUUAGCUGGUCUGAGAGGAUGAUCAGCCACACUGGGACUGAGACACGGCCCAGACUCCUACGGGAGGCAGCAGUGGGGAAUAUUGCGCAAUGGGGGCAACCCUGACGCAGCCAUGCCGCGUGUGUGAAGAAGGCCUUCGGGUUGUAAAGCACUUUAAGUGGGGAGAAAGGCCGCUGGUAAUAGCCAUCGGGAUUGAUGUUACCCACAGAAUAGCACGGCUAACUCCGUGCCAGCAGCCGCGGUAAUAC